GGCACGGGGUGGAGGGGGGCCGAGCUGGCGGAGCUGUAAGGCUAGGGUGGAUGAAUGGGAGGCUGCUUGAGGCAGGGCUUGAUGGGGUGCUGAGGGCUGGGACUGCGUGAGGGCGAUGGAGCUUGUGGUGUUGAGGGCUGGGGUGGGCCGUUGGGCUGGAAGGUGUUGGCAGCCUUCAUCAGAACAGGUCCGGAGUGGUGUCAGGACUCGUGUGGAAUGAAGGAACAGGGAGGUGACUUGUGGCACAGCAGCAGCUUCGACCUAUUUCUUUGGGGGUGGGGAGCAGUUUCCUGUCAGCAUCUUCUGCUGUCCCCACCUGGGACCCGUGUGUUCUGUCUAGUAGUGUAGGGCUGGUGAGCCUCUUGGCCUUGGGGAGGCUGUAGGGCAGCUGAUUUGCAUCUGCAUCUUUGGCUGGGACAGUGCAGCCCCUGGGGAGCCACUGAGCGUUACUGACAGAGAUGCACUAGAGCCAUGAAGGCCCUUGUCUGAGCGCAGUCCAGCUUGGGAGAGUCACCUCAUGUGAAUGCCCGUAUCUGCAACCAUGCACUUGCUGCAUCUGAGUAGUGCUGUGCACCUUUGUGCGUGGACAAAGUCUAGAGAAGCAAAGCACAGCACUAUUGUUUGUGGGGUGGAGCCUGGCUCUGCAAGCAGCACAGCCUAAGCUGCUCUGGGAAGGGACUCCCCAGUGAGGCUUUUUUGUUUGUCACCUUUUCCACAAGUGGCUUUUGAAGUGUUCUGCCUUUUGUGUGCAGACCUUAGAGAAAGGCCUUUUCCUCCAUUUUCUCCUCUUGGUUGACUUCUUGCUCUUUUAUUUCAUACAAUAACCUCCUAGGCUGUGUUGCCUUGUGGGAACACCAAGCUGCUCUCUGCUGUCAGCCUCUUUAUUCUUCUUGAAUGUGAUCGUUUAGUGCAACAAGUAUCCCCGAAGCACUGGCACCACACUGGGAGGAGAGAGCUCUUGGGCACUGCAGCUGCAUCCAUUAGAAAAAACUUAACUAUAUGGAGGUUAAUAGUGUGUGUCAAAAACACUCAUUCACCACAAGCUCGUAUGGAGGCAUUCUGCUGGUGUGAGCCUGUGUGCGUGUCCUUGCAUCAGUACAAGAGCAGCAGCAGUAAGUGGAGGCUGCAGCCACCAGGAGAUUGAAUGCACCUCAAAGCCCUGACUCAGUGCAGCUUGAGCUGAGGUUGCUCGCUCACUUCCAAUCCAUGGAGUUUCCAUUUUGCUGUACAGCAAAGCUUUUAACUGUCUCAGCGUGCUUGCCUGGCAUACCAAUCCUUCCUGGAUCAAUUCCUCUUGCUGUGAGCAUGGCCAAUGACAUUCUGCUUCUGCCUCUUGUUCUACAGGCUGUCCUUUCUUUUGUUUGGAUAGAGGACCAGCUAGGUGCUCUUUCUGGACAAGUGUUGUCCCCUCAGUAUGUUGCUGGAGAGGAGGAAGUAGUUCACUUCUGCAUUUUCUUCUGUGUAUGUGCUGUCCAGGCAAGAACCCGACAUAGAUGAAGUUAGGGUUCCGGGGUCAGGACGUGCACUGAGCGUGGAGGCAGGAGGGGAUUUGCUGCAUUUCACUGUCUUUGCAUUUGACUGUCCACCCAAGGUGCGUCCUGGGGAUGGACUCGUGGUGGUCAGAGCAAGGACGCACCAUAAGGGAUUCCGUGAUUGAGAGGAGAAAGUCUGGAUGCUGAGAGCUGGCCCUGAGUUAUCUGCUCUGAAACUUGAAUUGGGGAGAUGUGAUGCACAAUUUAUCUAGACUUGCUCCAUGAUGUGAGCAGCAGCACUUUCCUCUCCUGCUGUGACUGUGCCAUGGAUCCAGCAGCUCCCUGCAGAGCUUCCCCAGACCUUCAGGUGGGAGUGCUUCACAUUUCCCCAUAGUGUGUAGAGCUGGGUGGCCCUUAGAAGUCAGAGCCAUUUCUAAAUGUAAUGUUUGUGCUCAGAGCCCAUGGAAAUCUCAUCAUCUUGGACAGCCACCGCUAGACAUCAAGGGAGCUUGGUAAUGGAUUUCUUAAGACUGUAAUUUCUUGUUUUAAAUCAACUUCCUUAAGCCAACCACAUUUUUAAAUAAUGUCCAAAAGCUACCGGAACCUGCUGAAAUACCUCUAGUGAAGAAUUGACUGCUGAGAGCUUAGACUGUCAAAGUGCUGAUGUGGGGGAAUACCUGGUCAGAACCUGAGAGCAGAUGUGUUAGAGGCAGGCAGCUUGUUACUUGAGGUGGGCUUCUGCAGGUGUCAAAAGAAUAAGCUCUUCUGUAAGUUUUUGACUAAUUCUCUUUGACUUGACUAAUUGCCUGGAAGCUGGAAGAAACAGACCUGGGCUGGAAGCUCAGGUGUUGGGAGGUGAGCUCUGCCAGUUGGAAGAUCUUGUUUCUCUUAUUUGUCUCCUUUUGCUAACUGCACAGAUAGAAA